AGCAGCCGCGGUAAUUCCAGCUCCAAUAGCGUAUAUUAAAGUUGUUGCAGUUAAAAAGCUCGUAGUUGAAUUUCGGGAUCAAUUUGUCGGUCGUGCCUCGGUACGUACUGGUAUUAUUGGUUUCUACCUUCUGAAGAACCUUGAUGUCAUUAAUUUGGUGUCUUGGGGAAUCAGGACUGUUACUUUGAAAAAAUUAGAGUGUUUAAAGCAAGCAUACGCUUGAAUACAUUAGCAUGGAAUAAUGAAAUAGGACGUUUGAUUCUAUUUUGUUGGUUUCUAGGAUCGACGUAAUGAUUAAUAGGGAUAGUUGGGGGCAUUAGUAUUCAAUUGUCAGAGGUGAAAUUCUUGGAUUUAUUGAAGACUAACUACUGCGAAAGCAUUUGCCAAGGAUGUUUUCAUUAAUCAAGAACGAAAGUUAGGGGAUCGAAGACGAUCAGAUACCGUCGUAGU
rnacentral:rRNA from 1 species